UUUGAGCCGAAAGGAUUCUGUCACUAUGAAGUUUAUGCUAGAGGGCAAACAAAUAUCCUUCAGGACAUAUGGUUUAUCAGUGUCAAUAAUUGAUUUUACACUGUCGAGAUUGAACACUGGAGUAAACAUACUCUUUUUGGAUCUGUCACAGGACCCUUAUCUUUUCAAAGGUCCAAAAGGAGAUAAACAAUCAGAAACAUAUAGAAAA